rnacentral:rRNA from 1 species
GAUGAACGCUAGCGAUAGGCCUAACACAUGCAAGUCGAGGGGCAGCAUAAGGAAGUAGCAAUACUUUCUGGUGGCGACCGGCGCACGGGUGAGUAACACGUAUGCAACCUGCCUUCAACAAGGGGAUAACCCGUUGAAAGACGGACUAAUACCCUAUAACACAGGGGUCCCGCAUGGGAAUAUUUGUUAAAGGACAACCGGUUGAAGAUGGGCAUGCGUUCCAUUAGCUAGUUGGCGGGGUAACGGCCCACCAAGGCAACGAUGGAUAGGGGAACUGAGAGGUUUAUCCCCCACACUGGUACUGAGACACGGACCAGACUCCUACGGGAGGCAGCAGUGAGGAAUAUUGGUCAAUGGACGCAAGUCUGAACCAGCCACGUCGCGUGAAGGAAGACGGCCCUACGGGUUGUAAACUUCUUUUAUACGGGGAAUAAAGUGCCCCACGCGUGGGGUUUUGCAUGUACCGUAUGAAUAAGGAUCGGCUAACUCCGUGCCAGCAGCCGCGGUAAGUACG